AGAUGUAAGUGUACGCUGUGU
rnacentral:siRNA from 1 species